GACGAACGCUGGCGGCGUGCUUAACACAUGCAAGUCGAACGGUAAGGCCCUUCGGGGUACACGAGUGGCGAACGGGUGAGUAACACGUGGGUGAUCUGCCCUGCACUUCGGGAUAAGCCUGGGAAACUGGGUCUAAUACCGGAUAGGACCACUGCCUGCAUGGGUGGUGGGGGAAAGCUUUUGCGGUGUGGGAUGGGCCCGCGGCCUAUCAGCUUGUUGGGGGGGUGAUGGCCUACCAAGGCGACGACGGGUAGCCGGCCUGAGAGGGUGACCGGCAACACUGGGACUGGGGUACGGCCCAGCCUCCGACGGGAGGCAGCAGUGGGGAAUAUUGCACAAGGGGCGCAAGCCUGAUGCAGCGACGCCGCGUGAGGGAUGACGGCCUUCGGGUUGUAAACCUCUUUCAGCUAUGACGAAGCGCAAGUGACGGUAGUAGCAGAAGAAGGACCGGCCAACUACGUGCCAGCCGCCGCCGUAA
rnacentral:rRNA from 1 species